rnacentral:rRNA from 1 species
UACGUAGGGUCCGAGCGUGUCCGGAAUUACUGGGCGUAAAGCGCACGUAGGCGGCUUUGUAAGUUAGAGGUGAAAGCCCGGGGCUCAACUCCGGAAUUGCCUUUAAGACUGCAUCGCUAGAAUUGUGGAGAGGUAAGUGGAAUUCCGAGUGUAGAGGUGAAAUUCGUAGAUAUUCGGAAGAACACCAGUGGCGAAGGCGACUUACUGGACACAUAUUGACGCUGAGGUGCGAAAGCGUGGGGAGCAAACAGG